CAAGAAACUUCGCAGUAGAUGGCUAUGUACCGAAACCACACUGAAGAGACGGUCAUCUACCACACUGAAGAGACGGUCAUCUACCACACUGAAGAGACGGUCAUAUCGGGGAACACGGAUUCUUACAGCAGUCAAUUUUGUAGUUUAUAACCUGUAACUUAACUACAGCUUUGUUACUUGUAGUCCGGUCCGGGUGGCUUCGGACUACCUUGUUGAGGGUUUGUUCAUUUGAUGAAUCCCUUGGUUACUUGCAGAGAAGAGAGAACAGUGCUUCAU
rnacentral:lncRNA from 1 species